rnacentral:sRNA from 1 species
GGUUUUUUCUUUCUUUU